AGUUGGUUCCAACUCGAAUCAGGAAAAGAAAUCCGCAAGCUGAGCGCAGAUCACUCGCAUUCCUCAACCCCUUGGCGUCCCGCACCCUUGUCGACCGCCGGAUCCCAUGGCGAAUCGGCGUUGGCCCACGUCGUCCAGGCGCGGGAGGACCCGAUCCUUGGGACAAGCCAUCGGGAGGGACUCUGACGGUCGGAAGCCACCACUUAUCAUCUGUUCUCCGAGCAUUCCCCUUCUCGGACUCAUCAGCAUCUCUGGACACAUACCAGAACUCAUUUUGGUCUUUGAAGUUGUCUAGGUUCGCUUACGAUGAGCAUUGCAUCGAGCUUCCGCAAGGCAGGGAUAUUCAUGAGAAGGUCUUUGCGUUGCUGAGUUACCAUAAUCUGCUCAUGGCACAAAUAAGAACAUUGUAAUUUACAAUAAAACAGUACAACAACAACAACAACAAGAAAGAGAGGUGUUUUGAGUGACCUCCAUGCUGGUUCCAUCUUUGGAUAUCUGUUGGGAAGGAACAAACUGAACAAUAUGAUCCGUGACUGAUAAAAGCCAGUUUAUUUCUCUUCUCCAUCUCGCCUUCCUUUCUGCAGACAUGGGCUCCAGACGCCAUUGUUCUCCAAACACAGAAGCUGGUUCGGUCACAACAACAGACAGACGAGAGAUACUUUAGGAGAAAAACAUGGUGAUCAUUGCGCUGAUGCAGCAGGUAUGAUCUCUUAUAUUCCUAUUUGGUUAUGGAUGUGGACUAGCAGAAAGAAACCUGCAAGAUUGGUGAUGGCAUUGGAGAGAGCGAGGGCUGAGGAAACCCCUAUUCCUCCACCUGACAUGUCCUCCCCCAGAAGCAGCUUUGCAAACCUCUCCUUCAUCAACUCCAAAUCUGACAAAAGGCACCACAAAGAUUGUGAUCUUAUGAUAUCGAAAGUUGGUUCUUUUCAGGUUGCUCCUUGACACCUGCAUCCUUGCUGAACCGCGACUUGGGUGCUUGCUCCGGAGGUUGGCCGGGCGCGCUCGAUCCCUGGCUCCUAAAAAGCAUCUUGUCGUCGUCGAGUGACCCGCUCUCGAAGCCUCUUUUCAGAAACCGUACCAUCAAGGGCUCGUCCCCGAACACGGCUCAACGCACGGAGAAGGCGACGAGGUCACCGAAAGCGACAUGGGCUCCUGCACCAGCGACGGCGGCCACUUCCUGAUCUCCACUUCUAGGAGAUGAAGCCCACACCUCCACGAGCGCAGCAAGUAGAUGGAGAGAGAGCGAGAGAGAGAGGAGGAGGAGGAGGAGGAGGUGGUGGCGAGCGUGGCGUCCUGCGGGCAGUUGUGGGAGAAGAGAAGAUGAACCGCGAACGAGGAGAGAAGGCUUGAUUUGUCUCCUCGUGGUUCUUCUCCUCCUUGGCGUGGGGUGGGAUUAGGACGUGGGGUGCAUGUUUGAGGGUGGGGGAGAGAAAGAAAAAGGGGGGGGAGCUGAUGGAGGGAGGAGAAUACAACAGAAUUGUAGGCUGGUUUUGGAGGGUGUAAAGCUGGCUAAAAGCCCGGGAAAUGUGGAUAGCCUUUUGGGUUUGUUCCAUUUGUGCUCAAUAAGAUUAUUGAUUAAAUAAAAAAAUUUAUUGAUUAAAAAA